GAUGAACGCUGGCGGCGUGCUUAACACAUGCAAGUCGAGCGAGUGAGUUCUUCGGAACGAUCUAGCGGCGGACGGGUGAGUAACACGUGGGCAACCUGCCUCAUAGAGGGGAAUAGCCUCCCGACAGGGAGAUUAAUACCGCAUAACAUCGUUGAAGGGCAUCCUUCGAUGAUCAAAGGAGCAAUCCGCUAUGAGAUGGGCCCGCGGCGCAUUAGCUAGUUGGUGAGGUAACGGCUCACCAAGGCGACGAUGCGUAGCCGACCUGAGAGGGUGAUCGGCCACAUUGGGACUGAGACACGGCCCAGACUCCUACGGGAGGCAGCAGUGGGGAAUAUUGCACAAUGGGGGAAACCCUGAUGCAGCAACGCCGCGUGAGUGAUGACGGUCUUCGGAUUGUAAAGCUCUGUCUUUGGGGACGAUAAUGACGGUACCCAAGGAGGAAGUCACGGCUAACUACGUGCCAGCAGCCGCCGUAA
rnacentral:rRNA from 1 species